UACGGAGGGGGCUAGCGUUGUUCAGAAUUACUGGGCGUAAAGCGCACGUAGGCGGAUUGUUAAGUCGGGGGUGAAAUCCCGGGGCUCAACCCCGGAAUGGCCUCCGAUACUGGCAAUCUUGAGGUCGGGAGAGGUGAGUGGAAUGGCGAGUGUAGAGGUGAAAUUCGUAGAUAUUCGCCGGAACGCCAGUGGCGAAGGCGGCUCACUGGCCCGAUACUGACGCUGAGGUGCGAAAGCGUGGGGAGCAAACAGG
rnacentral:rRNA from 1 species